CACCUGGGACACACCUGAGCACACCUGGGACACACCUGAGCACACCUGGGGACACCUGAGAUACACCUGGGCACACCUAGGCACAUGUGGGACACACCUGGGCACACCUGGGACACACCUGGGCACACCUGGCCAUGCAGAUGUUGGAUUUUUCCCGCCAUUCCCGGUUUUUUUCUCACCUUUUCCCGUUUUUCCCGUUUUUCUCCCCAAACCGCAGCCGGAUUUCGUCGGCAUCAUCUGCACCCGCCUGAGCCCCAAGAGACUGAUCGAGAAAUGGGUGGACUUCGCCAGGCGGCUCUGCGAGCACCAGUACGGGAACGCGCCGCGCGUGCGCAUCAACGGCCACGUGGCCGCGCGGUUCCCGUUCAUCCCCCUGCCCCUGGACUACGUCCUGCCCGAGCUGCUCAAGAACGCCAUGAGGGCGACGAUGGAGUCGCACCUGGACACUCCGUACAACGUCCCCGACAUCGUGGUGACGAUCGCCAACAACGACAUCGACCUCGUCAUCCGGAUUUCGGACCGGGGGGGAGGAAUUCCCCACGAUUUGCUGGACAAGGUCACCGAGUACCAUUUCAGCACGGCCGAGGCGAGCGCGCAGGACCCGCGCCUGGGGGGGCCCUUCCGGGGCCUGAUGGAGCCCAACGGGCAGGCGGGGCCCAUGCACGGGUUCGGCUUCGGGCUGCCCACGUCCCGCGCCUACGCCGAGUACCUGGGCGGGUCCCUGGCGCUGCAGUCGCUGCAGGGCGUCGGCACCGACGUCUACCUGAGGCUGCGGCACAUCGACGGCAAGGCCGAGAGCUUCCGCAUCUAGGGGGGCUCGGGGGACCCCGGAAUCCCGGGAUCGGGGCGGGGAGAGCCGGGAGAACCUUCCAGAGUUGGGGUUUGGGUCAUCAGAACCGUGGAGAACCUUCCAGAGUCGGGGUUUGGGUCAUGGAGAACCUUCUAGAAUUGGGGUUGGGUCAUCAGAACCGUGGAGAACCUUCUAGAAUUGGGGUUGGGUCAUCAGAACCAUGGAGAACCUUCCAGAAUUGUGUUUUGGGCCAUGGAGAACCUUCCAGAGUUGGGUUUGGGUCAUCAAAACCAAGAAGAACGUUCCAGAGUUGGGUUUGGGUCAUGAAGAACCUCCCAAAGUUGGGUUUUGGUCAUCAAAACCGUAAAGAACCGCCCAGAUUUAGGGUUUGGGUCAUCAGAACCAAGAAGAACCUUCCAGAAUUGUGUUUUGGGUCAUCAGAACCAUGGAGAACCUUCCAGAAUUGUGUUUUGGGCCAUGGAGAACCUUCCAGAGUUGGGUUUGGGUCAUGGAGAACAUUCCAGAAUUGGGUUUGGGUCAUCAGAACCAAGAAGAAC
ensembl:lncRNA